CUAAAAGCAAACACCCGAAACCACAAGUCACUGCACUUCUUCAUUCUGCUUUGAGGCCCCUAGGUUUCCCUUUCGGCUACCGUCGAAGGCGAAGGUCAAGACGAGAAAUCCCAACACAGGGUAGAAAAUGCGUGAUCGAUCUACUUCUUGUUUGAUCGAUUUGCUCGUUGUUGAUCGUAGAGCUGCAAUGUCAUCACCAGUGAGAGGAGCAAGAGGCUUUGGAGCUGGAGGGGAGCAGAUGGUGAUCCAUGUGCUGGCUAUGGACGAUAGCUCGGUCAACUGGGAAGUCAUCGCGUCGCUUCUCCGGAGUUCCAAGUAACAAGUCAAAGCUGUGGAUAGUGGGAAUAAAGCACUGGAGCUUUUGGGAAUGUAGGAACCAAAUGUGAGCAUGAUCAUUACUGAUUACUGGAUGCUAGAAAUGAUAUGAUACGAGCUGCUCAAGAGAAUCAAGAUGUUUGGAAGAAGGAGAAGAAGAUUUCUUGCUGAAGCCUGUGAGUCCAUCUGAUGUAUCUCGUUUGUCCAACUGGAUCAGAUAGCAGCCGGAGAAGGUAGAGGAGGAUGAAAGAUGAGUCUCCUGUCCACACAAUUCUCUUCAUCUUUGCUCUCAUCUAGAAAUGAAUUCAUUUCACGAGCAAGGAACUGUGAUCAUGGAUAUCCUCAUCAUCUUCCACGGAUCUCAUCUUGUGCUUUUAGAUUUAUAUUCUAAUUUGAGCGUGCUUCAUUACCUAUGAAAGUAUAGGUUAAUUUUUGGAUUUUUAGGUAGGAUUUCAUUUGAUUGUUUGUUUAUUUUACUAAAAGCAUUAAUUUGAUUUAGUUUCUGGAUUUUGCACCUAACUCCCUUGUGAUGAUAUGUGUAAUUAAAGUGAAGCACAAGUUAUAUUGCUAUGAUUCUCAUUGUCUGCAUUCGUAUUUAUAAGCAAUCAAUUGUUUGUUUUUUGAUGUUCCAUAGAUUUUUGUGUCAUUUAUUGUUUUCACUAUUUUUUUAUUGCAUUUAGAUUACCAUUAGGUAUUAUUGUGAAGCAAGAUUUUAGAAUGUUACCAUCUUAUCGCUUCCAAUAUCUUCUCCUUUUCAUCCUUUUGUCUAUUUUUGUUGUAGGAACUUUUUUGAUUUUCUUGAUGGAUUAGUAUGAUUCUAUGAAUCACUCAUCAGAACCUAGGCACGGACUUCUAAGAGAUCAAGUUGAUGCGGAAGGAUUGUAAUUGUUAUGAAGUUGUUCCAAUUCAAGGUCCAUUAUCAUUUGAAAAGAGCUUCUAUGUUGUACUGCAUGUAUGCUCUAAUUGUACGAAUACAGGCCAUACAAAUAUCUGGCUAGGAAAUGACACAAUGUCGCUGCAUCUCUCUUAGUGACCCUUUAAAGAUCUGGUCAGAUAGAAGGGCGACCAAUCUGUAGCGCUUAUCCUUAUAUUUCCACCUAGACAGGAUCCUAGUAAAAUACAGCUCAUUUAUUAUUUCUCAA